CUGAUGUUGACAUUUUUGCAUUCGUAUGUGCUCAACUCUCAGUGCUAUAGAGGGAGAAACUACUGCUGCUUGCUGAACUUGGUUAGCAUUUGUACAUCUAAGGUUCGUUGCAUUGAAAAGCAUAUCCUGUUAGAUGCAAUAAUGCUAACCCACUUCAAGCUAGGAAAACUAAAAAUAUUCCAGUUGAUAAUUCUGCUCGGAUAGCUUCAGCAUCAAGUAAAGGUAAAUAGUUAUGUUUUUUUAUGUGGUAGUCGUUCAUAUCGGUGUCCACUUAAAUUUAAUAAAAAAAAUUAAGUAUUAAAAUAGCAGGUACACCACAGAGAAAGUGGGUCCUUUUCAGUAUUAUCUUCAUUAUGGAAACAAUAGCUUCCGCCCAAACACGAUCAAGGUAUUCUAUACUAAUGGCAAGAACUUUCCGUUUUGCUAUUGCAGUUUGGGUUCGACCAUACACUUGAAGUUUUGUUUUUCAGACUUCAUCAUUGUUAUCAGGCAUUGUAUUGGUCUGUUUGAGAUUAUUCAUAAGAGUUAAUUUCAGAGUAAUCUGUGCUAAUCAGUAAACAAGAACUUGUCAUUUUUCCAUUGCAGUUUGGGCUCGACCAUACUUACCACUGGCAUAAUCAGAUACAAUGGCGUGCGCUUAAUGACAUUAAUGUUGGAGUUUGUGAAGGAAUGACAUACAAAGAGAUAAAUAAAAACAUGCAUUGGGAAUAUGAGGUGGGAGUAGCGUGGAAGGACCAAUCUCAAAGGAAGAAACAUCUUGCAGAGGAAGGGUAACAAUGUUUUGGUCUGUAUAAUAACUUCUUAAAAUUGAUCCAUUAGAGUCACCAUGAAUGUGAUAAAUUCAAGGCAAUAACUUUGAUAGAUUCAUGGUAUUUGCUGUGCUUUUCCAUCAUAUUCGAGUUAUGUGGCCGACCAAUAUGUUUGAUUUAUGUGGCUAACUUCUCAGAAGUCAUAGAAAUGCUCAAGUCCAAGUAUCUAUCCUAUCCAUUUGAGAACAGGUGAGUUGGAGACAUAUAAUAUAACGAACAAACCUGUAUCACUCUUUUAUUGAUUUAUUGUUGGUUACGAGUCUCCAAAGCUGCAUUUACAUAUGGCUCACCAUAUGUAUGUUUACAUGUGCAUGGUGUUAUAGGUUCAAACAUGGUGCAUUUCAUUUAGGGGUCUCUUUUCUCUGUGCAAUGUACAGUCCUCUAUAUAUUGUUAUCGUUAAAAUCCUGGCUGGCUCUUAUUCCUUCACGAAGAGCUAUAUACAGAAAGGUAAAUCAGUUGAACUAUUAUCCUAACUUGAACGAUCCUGUUUUGCUUUAUCAUAUAAAUAAUCAAAGUAGAUGUAUCUUUUGGUAAUUAACAGGAAAAAGUAGUUUUGAAAUAUAUCUUUCCCGGCGUUUUCAGUAUGCAGUGGGCGAUGUUGAAGAGGAGAAGCUUUGAUUAUUGAUUUCGUCUGACAUUCAUUCUUUGGUCCUGUAGUAGUCCUCCAGUUCAAGAGGCAAUAGUCCAAUCCCUGAGUAUGUGCAGUAUUUUCAGUAUUCCACGUACAUUCAAAUCACAAAUAAGAACAACAAGAUUGGUGUAUAGUCCACUCUAUCAUACUAAUCACCAGUGACUCUUAAGUUAUUUUAUGAUACCUCAAGUUUUUUAGUAAGUUAGUGUUUGCAUGAUAUGUUACUUGAUUUGUAUUGGUAAUAAGAGAUAUAGCUCUCUGUAAGGGAGUGAAAGCCGCUGUGGAAAUGCAAGUAGAAGCGGAGCGUAAAAAGAUGAGCUCAAAAACUGAUAGUAGAAAACCAAAUCUUUAGUGUUUUGUAAUAUUUACUGGACUAGGAUCCCUAAUCUUUAGUGUUUAAACUUUAUUAUUGCAGGGAAAGUUUAUCUUUCUGGACAUCUGCUGUGAUCUGGUUAUUGUUAAAGAGUACAAAAGCAGUGCUAUCAACCCUGUUUUUAUCGAGAAAGACAACAAUGAAGACUACACCAAUGUAUGACCAUCAUAAAAAGGAAUUGGAUAAUCGAAAGCUUCACAAGACCAUCAUAGAGUUCUUCAAACUAUCAUGGGCUCCAGUGGCAUUUGAUGUUCUUCCAUACCUUUGGUUGCUUGAUGUGGAUGGACAAAAGAAACACAUGAAGAAAAGAGACAAGAAAGGACUUAAUUUGAGAAAUGGCUUGAACAGGACUACUGAAUACCAUCAAAGUAGGCCAGGGUUAGAGAUGCUGCAAAGAAAAGGUUGACGGGUUUAUGAAUCCUUACGAGAACAUGAGGAAGAGGUAAUUUUCCUUGCUUUUUAUAUAAUAUUGCCUCCAUACGAGGAAAAUUGAUACUUUCCAUUUUCCAUUUUUGCCUUAAAAUAGGCCAAACUUUAAAGGUGAAAGUAUCACUUUACCCGAAAUGGAGAGAGUAUUUCUAUUAGUCUUAUUUAUGGAAAUACACGUUCAUCUUUUGUGUCCGAUGUACUUUUUUUAGUUGACCAGACGAGCUCAUCGUGUUGUAAAAUGUUGAUGAUAACCAUUAGUGACGACUAAUU